CCCACAUAUCACAGUCUCAAAAAGGCUUUCAUUUCGGGAGAGAGCGGCAAAGGGCUUGAUCUACGAAAAUCUCCCGACUCUCAAAAGCUGGAGACCUGAUAAAAUUCAAAAACCAUGAAAUGUUCAAAUGUACGUUGUUGUGUAAGUUAACAGGGCGAGGAAUAAAACAACGGUUGCAAUAUUCAGCAAGCGUUAGAUCGCAACGGCAUGAUGUUUAGCCCGCACUUGUAAGUACGCAUCCUGUUCUUAUUAUGUGUUGGGUGGUACAUUCUAGGACGUCACGUAUUAUGGUGUAUUUAAUACGACCUCGCUCACUUUCCCUAUUCCUUGUUUUAAUGUUUGGAGGGACACGAAAUCAAUCUUCGUGUUCAUAUUACUAGUGUGCACCCCGUGUGCAAAACACGACCUCCAUUUUUUUUUAUUCUCGUUACAGUAAUUCUGUAUUUUAAAUAUAAUUUUGUAAGUUCUACAGUAACAUUUUUACA